rnacentral:rRNA from 1 species
UACGUAGGGGGCAAGCGUUAUCCGGAUUCACUGGAUGUAAAGGGAGCGUAGACGGCCAUGCAAGCCUGGAGUGAAAGCCCGGGGCCCAACCCCGGGACUGCUCUGGGAACUGAGUGGCUGGAGUGCGGGAGGGGCAGGCGGAAUUCCUGGUGUAGCGGUGAAAUGCGUAGAUAUCAGGAGGAACACCGGCGGCGAAGGCGGCCUGCUGGACCGCGACUGACGUUGAGGCUCGAAAGCGUGGGGAGCAAACAGG